rnacentral:rRNA from 1 species
UCUUUUUGUUUAAAAUUUAAAGUCUGGCCUGCCCACUGAAAUUUUUAAUGGCCGCGGUAUUUUGACCGUGCUAAGGUAGCAUAAUCAUUAGUUUUUUAAUUGAAAGCUGGAAUGAAGGGUUGGAUGAAAAAAAAACUGUCUCUAUUUAAAAUUAAAAUUUUAUUUUUAAGUUAAAAAGCUUAAAUUUUUUUAAAAGACGAGAAGACCCUAUAGAGUUUUAUAAAUUAAGAGAUUUAAAUAUUUAGAAUUUUAUUAUUUAAAUUAAUUUGUUUAUUUAAUUGGGGUGAUUAAAAAAUUUAAAGAACUUUUUUUAUUAGUAUAUAUAUAUAAAUAGAUAUUUGAGCCAUUUUUAAUGAUUAUAAGAUUAAAUUACCUUAGGGAUAACAGCGUAAUUUUAUUGGAGAGUUCAAAUCGAUAAUAAAGGUUGCGACCUCGAUGUUGGAUUAAAA